GCCCGGAUGGUCUAGUGGUAUGAUUCUCGCUUUGGGUUACCACCUAAUCUGCGAGAGGCCCCGCGUUCGAAUCGCGGUUCGGGCC